GGUUAAGCGACUAAGCGUACACGGUGGAUGCCCUGGCAGUCAGAGGCGAUGAAGGACGUGCUAAUCUGCGAUAAGCGUCGGUGAGGUGAUAUGAACCGUUAUAACCGGCGAUUUCCGAAUGGGGAAACCCAGUGUGUUUCGACACACUAUCAUUAACUGAAUCCAUAGGUUAAUGAGGCGAACCGGGGGAACUGAAACAUCUAAGUACCCCGAGGAAAAGAAAUCAACCGAGAUUCCCCCAGUAGCGGCGAGCGAACGGGGAGGAGCCCAGAGCCUGAAUCAGUGUGUGUGUUAGUGGAAGCGUCUGGAAAGGCGUGCGAUACAGGGUGACAGCCCCGUACACAAAAAUGCACAUAUUGUGAGCUCGAUGAGUAGGGCGGGACACGUGGUAUCCUGUCUGAAUAUGGGGGGACCAUCCUCCAAGGCUAAAUACUCCUGACUGACCGAUAGUGAACCAGUACCGUGAGGGAAAGGCGAAAAGAACCCCGGCGAGGGGAGUGAAAAAGAACCUGAAACCGUGUACGUACAAGCAGUGGGAGCCUCUUAAUGGGGUGACUGCGUACCUUUUGUAUAAUGGGUCAGCGACUUAUAUUCUGUAGCAAGGUUAACCGAAUAGGGGAGCCGAAGGGAAACCGAGUCUUAACUGGGCGUUAAGUUGCAGGGUAUAGACCCGAAACCCGGUGAUCUAGCCAUGGGCAGGUUGAAGGUUGGGUAACACUAACUGGAGGACCGAACCGACUAAUGUUGAAAAAUUAGCGGAUGACUUGUGGCUGGGGGUGAAAGGCCAAUCAAACCGGGAGAUAGCUGGUUCUCCCCGAAAGCUAUUUAGGUAGCGCCUCGUGAAUUCAUCUCCGGGGGUAGAGCACUGUUUCGGCAAGGGGGUCAUCCCGACUUACCAACCCGAUGCAAACUGCGAAUACCGGAGAAUGUUAUCACGGGAGACACACGGCGGGUGCUAACGUCCGUCGUGAAGAGGGAAACAACCCAGACCG
rnacentral:rRNA from 1 species